rnacentral:rRNA from 1 species
AGAGUUUGAUCCUGGCUCAGAAUCAACGCUGGCGGCGCGCUUAACACAUGCAAGUCGCACGAGAAAGUGGAGCAAUCCAUGAGUACAGUGGCGUACGGGUGAGUAACACGUGGAUAAUCUACCCUUUAGUGGGGAAUAACUCUGGGAAACCGGAGCUAAUACCGCAUAAGCCUGAAAAGGGAAAGCAGCAAUGCGCUGAAGGAGGAGUCCGCGGCCGAUUAGCUAGUUGGUAGGGUAAUGGCCUACCAAGGCAAUGAUCGGUAGCCGGCCUGAGAGGGCACACGGCCACACUGGCACUGAAACACGGGCCAGACUCCUACGGGAGGCAGCAGUGGGGAAUCUUGCACAAUGGAGGCAACUCUGAUGCAGCGACGCCGCGUGAGCGAUGAAGCCCUUCGGGGUGUAAAGCUCUUUCGACGGGAACG